rnacentral:rRNA from 1 species
ACGCCGUCUGAAGGAAUAAGACCUUCGGGUUGUAAACUUCAAUUAUUAGCGAGGAAGGAUGGGACGGUAUAUAAUGAAUAUGCCCAUGCUAUAUACGUGCCAGCACCCGCGGUAAUAUGUAGGGGGCGCGCGUUUUCUCGAUUUAUUGGGGGUAAAAGGGGUGUAGGCGGGAAUGCAAGUCAGAUGUGAAAUCCAUGGGCUCUCCCCAUGAACCGCAUUUGAAAAUGUGUUUAUUGGGAGAUGGAGAGGCAGGGGGAAUUCGUGUAGUGGCGGGGAAAAGCGUAUAUAUUAGGCGCAACACCAGUGGCGAAGGGGCCUUUCUCAACAUCAACUGACGCUGAUGCGCGAAAGCGCGGGGAGCUCACACGAGUAGAUACCCCGGUAGUCUGCACCGUAAACGAUGAAUAUUAGGUGUGGUGGGACGGACCCCUUCCGGGCCGGAGC